UACGCGAAGAACCUUACCUGGCCUUGACAUACUAAAAAGCUUUAAGAGAUUAGAGUGUGCUAGCUUGCUAGAAUUUAGAUACAGGUGCUGCACGGCUGUCGUCAGCUCGUGUCGUGAGAUGUUGGGUUAAGUCCCGCAACGAGCGCAACCCUCGUGUUUAGUUGCUAACAGUUCGGCUGAGAACUCUAAACAGACUGCCUACGCAAGUAGGAGGAAGGUGAGGACGACGUCAAGUCAUCAUGGCCCUUACGGCCAGGGCUACACACGUGCUACAAUGGGGUAUACAAAGAGCAGCGAUACGGUGACGUGGAGCAAAUCUAGAAAAUGCCUCUCAGUUCGGAUUGUAGUCUGCAACUCGACUACAUGAAGUUGGAAUCGCUAGUAAUCGUAGAUCAGCAAUGCUACGGUGAAUACGUUCCCGGGUCUU
rnacentral:rRNA from 1 species